GCCAGGCGUGGUGGCGCAUGCCUGUAAUCCCAGCUACUCAGGAGACUGAGGCAGGAGAAUCACUUGAACCCAGGAGGUGGAGAUUCCAGUGAGCCAAGAUUGCACCACUGCUCUCCAGCCUGGGUGACAGAGUGAGACUCUGUCUCAA
rfam:Gorilla gorilla gorilla genomic chromosome, chr18, whole genome shotgun sequence